UAGCAAAGGGCCUAAGGUGUGCCAUGGCCUUCCCUAGCUUGGUAAAAAAAAGUUUUUUAACCCAUAUAUUUUUUAUAAAAAAAAAUUAUAAAUAUAUGUAAAUACAUAUUAAAUUUCAUUUUGGCCUAAAAUGAAUUGUUGGCUCUGUCGUUGGUUAUGCCUCUUGCAUUCGAGUUGCUAAUAGCAGAGUAUGUAUUUUAUUUUGCUUUCACCAUUUAACAUUAGUUUUUGUAGAUUUACUUGCAACCAACAAAUGA
rnacentral:misc_RNA from 1 species